GACGAACGCUGGCGGCGUGCCUAAUACAUGCAAGUAGAACGCACAGUUUAUACCGUAGCUUGCUACACCAUAAACUGUGAGUUGCGAACGGGUGAGUAACGCGUAGGUAACCUGCCUGGUAGCGGGGUAUAACUAUUGGAAACGAUAGCUAAUACCGCAUAAUAUUGAUUAUUGCAUGAUAAUUGAUUGAAAGAUGCUAUUGCAUCACUACCAGAUGGACCUGCGUUGUAUUAGCUAGUAGGUGAGGUAACGGCUCACCUAGGCGACGAUACAUAGCCGACCUGAGAGGGUGAUCGGCCACACUGGGACUGAGACACGGCCCAGACUCCUACGGGAGGCAGCAGUAGGGAAUCUUCGGCAAUGGACGAAAGUCUGACCGAGCAACGCCGCGUGAGUGAAGAAGGUUUUCGGAUCGUAAAGCUCUGUUGUAAGAGAAGAACGGGUGUGAGAGUGGAAAGUUCACACUGUGACGGUAUCUUACCAGAAAGGGACGGCUAACUACGUG
rnacentral:rRNA from 1 species